AAUCCUCAAACCAGGUUUACUUGGUUUGGAUGUGGUGAGUCUGGGAGACUUCCCAGUCUUACUGAAAAUGAUUGUGCAUCACCGGUGAAUCAUCCUGGUAGCUUCAACUGCAACAGAUUUAUCUAUUCAUUUGAUGUCUUCCAUGUUGGUGGUUCUUUACUGUGUGUGCAUCAACUUAGUACACGGAGUGGCAGCUCAGUUAGAGCUGUUCUCUGAUA
rnacentral:misc_RNA from 1 species